rnacentral:rRNA from 1 species
CCUACGGGUGGCAGCAGUCGAGAAUCAUUCACAAUGGGGGAAACCCUGAUGGUGCGACGCCGCGUGGGGGAAUGAAGGUCUUCGGAUUGUAAACCCCUGUCAUGUGGGAGCAAAUUAAAAAGAUAGUACCACAAGAGGAAGAGACGGCUAACUCUGUGCCAGCAGCCGCGGUAAUACAGAGGUCUCAAGCGUUGUUCGGAAUCACUGGGCGUAAAGCGGGCGUAGGCGGUUUCGUAAGUCGUGUGUGAAAGGCGAGGGCUCAACCCGCGGACGGCACAUGAUACUGCGAGACUAGAGUAAUGGAGGGGGAACCGGAAUUCUCGGUGUAGCAGUGAAAUGCGUAGAUAUCGAGAGGAACACUCGUGGCGAAGGCGGGCUCCUGGACAUUAACUGACGCUGAGGCACGAAGGCCAGGGGAGCGAAAGGGAUUAGAUACCCCAGUAGUC